ACCGCUCCCGGACCACCGGCGCCGCCGUAGUGUUCCCAGAUCGUGUCCAUUGUGAUGUCGUGAACCGAACGAGAUUUUUAGCAGUACGCACCGGGAAGAGCAUAUAACAGGAUUUUUUUUUUUAAAUUGUGUCGGGAAAAAACGAGGACGAUUUUAACAAAAAUUAAUAUAAUAUUGCAUGCAUUGAAUAAAAUACUAUACGCCUUCGUCGCAGUGUCGGCGAAAUAAUAGUAAUUGCGAACCGGGAUGAUCUGAGAGGUGAAACGAAAAAAUAUUCGCAGCCCGUCGUCUCCGUCCGUCACGUGUAGUGUCGUGUGCGCGCGUGCAAAUAAAUCGUCGUCUCCGCGGGUCGUCGCGUAGACCUCCGGCGCCGGAGACGGACGUUUGAGCAUUCCUGCGGUUAGGACCACAGCACACGGUACCACCUGCAUCUGAGUCUCGGCCAGCUGUCGUGCGUUGACGUGUCCGCCGCACUGAAGGCGUCUGCGACCACCGGAAGUUGAGCGUCCCGGCAUCCGGCGCAGCGGAAGAGUCUGCGGGCGAACCGGGAAACAGGACGGGAGCGGGUGCGGGCGGCGUCGGUGACAAUAUACGACGGCGGUGACAAAGCGCUCACGCCGGCCCGUCCGCGCCCAACGGUCGUGGUCGCGACGUUGCCCUGUGAUCUAUGCAACGACGAGAUGAUCGCGCCCAGCUGCGGUGGUGGUACAAACAAUGGUGAACGGUGGUGAUACCGCCGUGUCGGGGCGCCGGUCAUCAUGCGUUCCGAGCGGUCGGAGCGGCCAUCGCCACUGUUGCAGCAGCUACCGCGGUCCUGCCACAGAAUCCGCACCGGGAUACCGUUACCGCGGUCGUCGUCGUCGUCGUUGUUGUUGUUUCUAAGGGGUGGUCGUCAUCUUCGCCACCACCACCACCGCCACCAGCACCAGCACCAGCGCCGAACCCGGCUGACCUUCACCGUCGCAGCCACCGCCGCUGCUUGGUGUUACCACCAUGCGGCUGGUGCAGAGCAUCGCGGGUCGACGCGAGUCCGCGGACGCACAACCCGCCACGUCCACUAGCAGCACGCGCCUGCUUCACCACGGCCAGUCGGCCGACCUCGAGCAGAUCAGCAUCGUCUCAUCGAACGCCACUCCGUCUCAAGUGACGUACGGCACUGGUCUGGUCACGGCCAACGGGCCCAGGAUAGUACCAGGAACGAUCACUAGCACAGGGCGGAUUGGCGAACGACUUAGCAUAUCUGGCACGAGAUUAGAUACUGGGAGUCCAGUAAGAUUCGGUACUAAAUCCAGUGUCGAAUCACUUAGGCUCUCAGCUGGCCGACAAAGCUUACUCGAUUUGGUAGGAUGUAGAUUCGGCGUAAGUCGAAAACCACCUCAGACCUGUUUCUCCCACUCCAGAGACUCGCUGACGCCGGUGUACACAAACCAGACUAGCAGUUGUCUGCCAGGUGGCAUAGCCAGCUCGGAUUCGGACAUAGCGGCCAAGGCGGGCGGCAAAUCGUCCUCCGGGCAGCACCGUCCAAGCCGGGUCAACUUUGAUGGCACCGGCGCCGGGGUGGGUGACAGUAAUAGCGGAGGCGGAGAUGGAGGUACCGCAGGAAGUGGAAGUGCUGCCGGUACAGCGGCGGCGGCGUCAAGUGGCGGUAGUGGAGCCGACGGCGCUGGUGGAGGCAGCACCACGACUGGUAGGGCGUCGUAUAACAACGCCCGCGGUUCCAUCUGCUUCGACGGCGGCCGGCAGAAGAACGGUGGUCCCCGGCAGUACAGAGACCGGACGUCCGACCGAGUCAAGGGCAUACGGUGGUCAUUUGUGUUCGACCCCGCCGGACAGCUCUGCUACUACUGGAACAUGGUCGUGUCCAUGGCAUUCCUCUACAACUUCUGGGUGAUCAUAUAUCGGUUCGCGUUCAGCGAAAUCAACCGGAACACGAUAGUGGUGUGGUUUUGUUUGGACUAUAUAUGUGAUCUGCUUUACGUGAUCGACAUAUUAUUUCACUUUCGCACGGGUUACUUGGAGGAUGGCGUGCUGCAGACGGAUGCCGCCAAACUGCGCAACCAUUACAUGAACUCGACUACGUUCUACAUAGACUGCCUGUGCCUGUUGCCGUUGGACUUCCUCUACUUGUCCAUAGGGUUCAACUCCAUCCUCCGAUCGUUUCGGAUAGUGAAGAUCUACCGGUUCUGGGCAUUCAUGGACCGGACCGAGCGGCACACCAAUUACCCGAACCUCAUCCGAUCCGGCAGCCUCAUCCACUACCUGUUGGUGAUAUUUCACUGGAACGGGUGUCUUUACCACAUAAUCUACAAGAACAACGGGUUUGGUAGCAAAAACUGGGUAUACACGGACUCGGAUACCGAGGAGACGGACACGGUCAAGCGGUACCUGCAGAGCUAUUACUGGUGCACGCUGGCGUUGACCACCAUCGGUGACUUGCCCAAACCCAGAAGCAAUGGCGAGUACGCGUUCGUCAUAUGUCAGUUGCUGUUCGGUCUUCUACUGUUUGCAACCGUGCUCGGUCACGUGGCAAGUAUAGUGGUGAGCGUGAGCGCGGGCCGCAAAGAAUUCCAAGAUGGUACUGCUCAAUCGAAAUUGGAUGGUGUUAAAACGUACAUGCGAAUGAGAAGAGUACCGAAUCACUUGCAGACCAAAGUGAUUAAAUGGUUUGACUACCUCUGGUUAACGCAAAAAUGUUCAGACGAAGAAAAAGCCAUUAGCUGUUUACCGGAUAAACUAAAAGCUGAGAUCGCAAUAAACGUACACUUGGACACGCUGAAAAGGGUUGAAAUCUUUCAAAACACAGAAGCCGGAUUCCUUUGUGAACUGGUGUUGAAAUUAAGACCCGUGUUGUUUUCUCCCGGAGAUUAUAUUUGUAGAAAAGGGGAAGUUGGCAAAGAAAUGUACAUAGUAAGUAGAGGGAAACUACAAGUGGUCACCGACGAUGGCAAGUCGGUUCUAGCAGUACUUCGAGCAGGGUCAUAUUUUGGAGAAAUCAGUAUACUUAAUAUGGGGACAGCAGGGAAUAGGCGAACUGCUUCAGUCCGGUCAGUAGGCUAUAGCGAUCUGUUCGUUUUGUCAAAAAAAGACAUGUGGGACGUGCUCAAAGAAUACCCUACUGCCAGAAUCAGACUAGAGGCAAUAGCGACCAAACGUCUGGAAAAGUACAAAACUGAACCUAGUCCAGACGAUAAAUUAGAAGGAUUAGUCGGAAGGCGAUGCAAGUCGACGCCCGGAAUUGUAGAAAGCCAAAUUAAAGUAGAAGAUGAGAUGUGGUUGCAAUCUAGCGAAGGUCUUUUAAGGCCAGCGGCUACAUUCAAUAGCAACAUCAAUAACAGGACUUCAUUCAGUCCUACCGCAAGUCCUAGCUUCAGAUCAAAUGCCGCAGCAACAUUAGAAUCCCCUCUGUCUAGUAAAUAUUCUCUAGAUCAAGAACACCACCAUCACCACCAUCACCAUGUUCAAGAUGCUCAAAAACCACAAGCAACAACUUCAGGUGUAGGUAAAGAUGCAACGAUGGUGUCCGCAUUGGAAGCGGAAAUUAAUAGACUUCAAGAACGUUUAAUAGCUGUAGAAACAGAGAACUUGUAUCUCAACAAAAAAGUUACUCAACAGCGGUGGGACAUGGACCACAGGCUUGCUGAAAUUGAGAUGCAGAUUUGUAAAGACGUUGGAAGUAGUGCAGAUAGUAGUUGUGAUGAUAACGAAAGAAAUAAAGAGUCGAUCAUCUAAGUGAUUUUUCCGAUUGAAUUUUUAAAAAAAAACAGAUUCAUCUGCGCCAAAGACUGACGUCAAUAUUAUAUCGAGUUAUAAAUUGUAUUUUUUUUUUUUUAAUUACCAGGGUGAAAUUUACAAAACCCAGGAAACUGCAAUUAUUUUGGUUCACAUAAUAUAAACAGAUGAAUUUACUAAUAAUGCGCGUAAGAUUCAGGCCUAAUAAACAUAUUUUUACAACUCAAAAUAAAAUUUCUUCAACCUCAUGUGAUUAAUUAAUUAUGACAGAAUCGAAUGAAUUAAACGAUUACCUAUUAACAAAGUAUAUGAAGACUAAGUGGAAAUUGUUUUCUACUCAGUGAAGUAUGUAUUCGUGUUUUGCAUUUUAGGAAUUUAAUCAUGAGAUAUUUACAUGUCAUAAGCUAAUUAAGAUAUAUAUUUUACAUCAUAAUGUAGGUAUAUAUCUAAAUGCAUGAUGUCAUGUAAUUAUAUUAUAUUAUCAACAGCAUUUCAAAGCUAAUACCAAUCGUGCAAAAUAUUAGAAAAGUAAAGAAAUAUUAUUUGUUUGAUGCCCACCAACGUUUUUAAAUAGUUGCAGUGUUUUCCCUUAUUGUAAUUGCAGUAAGUUCCUGAACAACGUUUAUUAGAUAAACAUUUAAAUUAUGGGGACCAAAUGAUUAAAUCGGUCAAUGACUUUGUCACCUGCAUAGAAUCGCAAAAUCGAUAAUAUAUGUAAUUCAAAACUUCUA
rnacentral:misc_RNA from 1 species